UCAUUAUUGAAAUAAUCCUGAUAGGUUGUUGCUGGUUCUCUCGGGAGCAUGUGCACACUUGAUCAUCUUUAUAUCUCCACCUGUGCACCUUUUGUAAAUCUGAAUAUCUUUCUGAAUGUCUCGCAUAUUCAGGUUUGAGGAUUGAUCUUUUUCUUUCCUUACAUUUUCAGGUUUAUGUUUUUCAUAUACCCCAAGUAUGUUAUAGAAUGUUAUAAACGGGCCCUUUGUGCCCAUAAAUUUAUACAACUUUCAGCAACGGAUCUCUUGGCUCUCGCAUCGAUGAAGAACGCAGCGAAAUGCGAUAAGUAAUGUGAAUUGCAGAAUUCAGUGAAUCAUCGAAUCUUUGAACGCACCUUGCGCUCCUUGGUAUUCCGAGGAGCAUGCCUGUUUGAGUGUCAUUAAUAUAUCAACCUCUUCAGCUUUUUGCAUGUUGAGUGUUGGAUGUGGGGGUAUUUUUUUGCUGGACUCUUGAAUCUGACGUCUGCUCCCCUAAAAUGCAUCAGCGAAACAAUUUGUUUACCGCUCAUUGGCGUGAUAACUAUCUACGCUAUUGACGGUGAAGCAUGUUUAGCUCCUAACAGUCCAUUAACUUGGACAAACCUCUUAUUAAUGUGAGCUCAAAUCAAGUAGGACUAGCCGCUGAACUU
rnacentral:rRNA from 1 species